UUGGAAUUCUCCCUCUCAGGAAACUAACAGCCUGCUAUGAAGCCCAAGCCACAAAGAGAGGCCAAGGGGAAAUAAACAGAGUGUGAUUAUAUGCAAAACCUACAAGAAUGAGGACCUCCAAACUCAGUGUACAGAGUGAUUUUCUGCUGAAACAAUUGGUAGAGACGGGGUUUCACUGUGUUAGCCAGGAUGGUCUCGAUCUCCUGACCUCGUGAUCCGCCCGCCUCGGCCUCCCACAAUGCUGGGAUUACAGGCAUCAGCCACUGCACCCGGCAUAAUUAUCUAAAUUUCUGAAAAUGAAUAUCUCCAUAGUCUUUCAUUCUGUUAAAUAAAUGGCAUUUACUGGAAAUAGCAGCUAGUUUUUGGUGGUUUUGUCAAACAGUUACCUGAUAUUU
rnacentral:lncRNA from 1 species